UUGAAGCCAUGUGCUCUGCUUGUCACCCACGUGUGACAGGAGGCUACGGAUGUCACAGGUUACUAUCAUUAAGGAAAUGUUAAAAUAACUGCUUACUCCUCCUAGAAUUAGACUUGCUGCCUUUAAAAUUUCAUUAGGUAAGAAUCUAAGUUGCAGAGAAUAUAUAUAUAUAUAUAUAUAUAUAUAUAAGAAAAUGCAAUCACGGCUACAUAGUUCAAAGAGCUCUGUCAAAAAUGGGAUGCCCAAAACGAUGACCUACCUUUCCUUCUGUUUCAGGUUUCCAGGGACUUAUUAAAAAUUAAAGAUGCCUUUAGGAGCUUCCCAGAAAACCCUUCAAAUGUAGGACAUAGUGUACCAGCAGGUUACAAAAUGAAACAACUUUUAUGCAAUAUAUUGUGCUGCAAAGCAAUUACGUUCCAAGUAUCUAAAGUAUUUCAAUUAAGAAAAAUAAUGAUCAAGGACAAACAGCGUUUUGGUAGGAAUGGAUUUGACUAUUUCUAUGGUUACUGUGCUGGAGCUGCAACUAGAAUUAAAGUUUUAAGAUCCAGGUUACAUUUACAUUUAUUAAAAAUUUGAUGUUAAUUGCAAAUUUUUCAUACACCAAAAAACUCAUCUCUCUCUUUUUUUUUAAGGACAAUUAAUAAAAGUGAGCUCAAGCCAUGAUAUAGCCUUAUCAGUUUAAAGUUAUUUACCUGUUUCACUGCUUUGGCACCACCCAUGGUGAUGGUUUUGGCUAUUUCAAGCCUAGACCUGAACACAUUUAAAUUUGAAUCACGCUGGCUCCUGCAAGCACUCAUAAUAGAGUGGUGUUCCUUCAUUUUCGUUGAAGGCGGUUCAGGAACAAGGUACUUUGCUUUACAUUAUCCAGCAGCCAAGUGAGAAAAUACACCCAGGCCAAGGAUCAAAGUGGAUUCCCACAAAAUGGGUUAAGCCAUGGCUGAAUAAAGACAACAAAGAUUCAACGUAUGCAGAUGGACAGGAGGGAGGAUCCUGUAGAGAUGGAGGGAACAUGCAGCCUGCGGCAUCAUCGAUGGCACUGAGAUUGCAACAGACCCCUGCCAAACACGGGACAAAUCCUAGAAUAUUCCACGGCCUCUACAAAGCACAUUUCCUUGGUUCAGCUUCUGGAAGAUGAACGAAUUAACGGCUUAUUUUGUAUAGUAUUCCAUUCCCUGAGCUGUCUCGAGGAGCUGCACAUCUCUGCAUGCUGUGGUCAUCCUCCAGCAAACAUCUCUGCAAGGUGAAGGGCUGAGGAGCACCAAGGGCCCCAGGACGAGCAGGGCCUAUGACCCUCCAAGUCCUCGCUGCUGCAUGGAGCAUCACAAGAUGCUUGUUUGGAGUCAACCAGAGAGGAGAGAUGUGUCUUCUGCUGAGACAAACCCAUCCCGCAAACACGUGGCGAGGUUAUUUCUGCAAGUUCAUUCUUUCCAGCGCUGGAAACGUGUCCUCUCGCUUGCAGCAACCACAAGAAGGAAGAUGAGAAGUAGCUGCAGUUGACUGAGAUCUUUAAAGAGAGGGUUUGCCUCCAGCUCUGAAAACCAGCUGGUAUAGGAGAAAAUAUACGCAUUCUCCCAAAUCCCCGUACGCUGUGAAUAACACGUUGAUGGAAAGAGUCUCUGGAUAAAUCUGUGGCUCACCCAAUACAUGUGGAGAAUCAGAACUGGCUGAAACUGUUGAAAAUUACAGCAUUGAGUAAAAAAUGUCCCCUGAAAAGAGCAGACCAACUAGCAGUUCUGUUCCUGAUGCACCGUGGCUACAAAAUAGUGAUGUAUCCAUGUCAAGCACGGCAGCGGUCCAGGGGCCAAGCACACCAAGGGCCAAUACGGGAUUUACUGUCUGCAUUGGAGCAAUUCUGCGCAUUUCAGCAGCGGGACAAACGGCAGCGGCAUUUCCACAUCCCUUUUCUCAACCAGAAAAUUGAAAUGUCCGUCAGUAAAACGCUUUUCUGGCCAUUUGUGGUGAUUACUCUGAUUACCUCCAGAAGAUUGAGGGCAUCAAAUUGCAAAGAAACAACGAACGAAUGUUGUCAAAGAGUUUCAAUCCGAAUGGAGAUUUGGGUGAAGUAGUGAAGGACACGGCCUCGCGGAACCCGAGAGCACGGGUCGGUGCCCAUGGUGAGAUGCUGCGUAUCCAUCAGUAAGAGACCAUCGUGCUGUUCCCUGAGCAAAGCACUUGCAUAGCAUUUCAAAUACGUUUGCUAAAAUGCAUAUAAUGAUGACAGAACCAGGGUGAGUUUCAGUCUGCGGCUUUUUCCCCCUGGUAAAAUAAAUGAGGGUUAUUUUUUCUGACCCUGCUGUGUGUUAGUGUAGCGUGAAAAACCUAUUUAUUGAAAAAUAAGUUGCAUAGUGAGUUCUGGGGCUUGAAUUUACUUUCAAAUAGCAAGAAAGAGACUGUGCCUUUCCUAUAGCCUAUAGACUGGUAGUGUUAAGAAUGAAUUAUGUGCUUUUAAUGGGACGUUACCUUGAGAUAAUGUAACCUCAUUGAUGAGCCUUAGAAUAUACUUUGAAUAAGUUUUGUACUUGGUAGUGGCCUCGACUGUAUCUCAUUGCGAGUGGAAUUGAAAACAAAACUCCUGUAUCCUCAGUGGAAAUACCCGCCAUAGCGUGGCAUAAUCAUAUUGCUGUGUAUGUCGGCAUUUGCUGCAUACAGUCGGUUUCCAAAGCAAAAGAGACCUCGGCCUUGGCACAACUCAACCAGGGACCCCGGUCGGCUGUGUAGGGGCUGUCUCUCUGUUUGCAGUCAUAGAGACCCCAAAGCCACCCAGAAAUUUCCUUUCAGUGGUUAACACGCGUUAAAGCACCUCAUGUCUGGAAGAAGUGAUGACACGUGUACUCACUAUAGGUAAAAUUGUAGAAUCAUUUUGGUUGGAAGAGACCCUCAAGAUCAUCAAGUCCAACCAUAGCCCACCCCUGGCACUGCCCCAUGUCCUGAGAACCUCAUGUCCGUCUGUCCAACCCUCCAGGGAUGGUGACUCCAGCACUGCCCUGGGCAGCCUGUUCCAAU